GCCCAUUUUAUUUGAAUUUUAAAUAAACAAUGAAUAAUUUUCAAUAUAAGUAUGUCCCAUGAAAUACUGGAGACAUACUUAUGCUAAAAAUUAUUUGCUGUUUGUCUGAAUUUCAAAUUUAACUGGCUGACCUAUA
rnacentral:miRNA from 10 species